CCAGGCUGUACUUCAUUCACCAGGCUGUACUUCAUUCACCAGCCUGUACUUCAUUCACCAGGCUGUACUUCAUUCACCAGGAUCUACUUCAUUCACCAGGCUGUACUUCACCAGGCCGUACUUCACCAGGAUGUACUUCAUUUACCAGGCUGUACUUCACCAGGCUGUACUUAAUUCACCUGGCUGUACUUCAUUCACCAGGCUGUACUUCAUUCACCAAGAUGUACUUCAUUCACCAGGCUGUACUUCACCAGGCUGUACUUAAUUCACCUGGCUGUACUUCAUUCACCAGGCUGUACUUCAUUCACCAAGAUGUACUUCAUUCACCAGGCUGUACUUCACCAG
ensembl:lncRNA